CCUCCACAUUGCAUCCAUCCUCAGCUUCUGUACUUUGAUUACAAGUCGUUAGUUUUCUUAUAGCAAGCAAAAGAUAUGGCUCAAAUUGGCAAGAAGGAGGUCAAGACACCAAUUCAAUGCUCUGCUGCUAAGUUUUAUGAGGUCUACUGGAAAGAAGCGUACCUCUUGCCGACGAUUUCUCCUCGUAAUGUUAAGAAAAUAGAACUCGUUGACGGUACUUCUAGUUGGGAGGAUAAAGUAGGCUCCCGCAAGCGCGUUCACUUCGAUGAAGCUGGACUUGAGGAUUUCAAGGAUGAAGUGGUAGAGAUUGACCCUAAAGCCAAGCAAAUCACCUACAAGGUGUUGGAAGGAAACAUGAUGCUUUUCUAUCACAGCUUCCAGGCAGCCCUUGAGGUCACUGAAGGCACCGCGAAAUGGACUGUUGAAUUUAUAAAGAAACAUGACUCAUGCCCAAAUCCUGAUCAUUACUUGCACCGUUUAGAUUCCGUCAACAAGGAUGUUAAUGCUUCCCUUCCUCCUAAGGAUGUUAAUGCUUACCUUCUUCCUAUUAACUAGGAACAGCACGACAGAACAUGCCCUUUGUUUAAGUGAAGCUAGCUAGUACGUACGUGGUACUGUGAAACAAACGCUUCAAAUUAAAGGUGCAUGUAAUUCCCAGGCCCUAAUAUAUAGUAUAGAGCACUUUAGACCUUUGGAUUCCAUCAGUUAGGCUGUUGAUGCUUCCCUUCUACAAGGUGUGUGGCAUGAAAAGAUAAGCCUGGUACUUGUAUAAUAAUUCAGGUGGCCAUCCUCUGUGUAACUUUGUGUGAUCUAGUAAUUAAUAAUAUGUGCUCAAUUUCCUUAAA